rnacentral:rRNA from 1 species
UGGGGAAUAUUGGACAAUGGGGGAAACCCUGAUCCAGCCAUGCCGCGUGAAUGAUGAAGGCCUUCGGGUUGUAAAGUUCUUUUGACGGGGACGAUGAUGACGGUACCCGUAGAAUAAGCUCCGGCUAACUUCGUGCCAGCAGCCGCGGUAAUACGAAGGGAGCUAGCGUUGUUCGGAAUUACUGGGCGUAAAGGGCGCGUAGGCGGUUUCGUAAGUUGGAUGUGAAAGCCCUGGGCUCAACCCGGGAAUUGCAUUCAAGACUACGUCACUCGAAUUCGGUAGAGGUUGGUAGAAUUCCCAGUGUAGAGGUGAAAUUCGUAGAUAUUGGGAAGAAUACCCGUGGCGAAGGCGGCCAACUGGACCGACAUUGACGCUGAGGCGCGAAAGCGUGGGUAGCAAACAG